CGAUGACGUCACGCACCAAACACUGUCACUCACUCCCUCUCUCUCUACCUCUGUCUUUCGCUCUCCCCUCUCCCUCUCUCAGAUGUUCUAUUCUGGGAAGUUGUGCCAGGAAUAAUAGCUUCGGCGUCUUCCUCGCAAACUGAAAAAUCGUGUCGAGGAGGAUGUUUUACUCACAAGGUGUCUUCAUUUAGUAGCAGCAUAAGGCUUUAGAAUAGUCAUACGGAAGUCGAUCUUUUUUUGUGCUAAUUCUUGUUUAAUUUUUCACUCUUGAGUCUUGGACGCUUUUAUCCGACAAUUAGCGAAGUGUCAAGAGCGUUGUCAUAGGUUGUCAUUUAUUUGGGAUUUUACCGGACGUGGGUUUUUGCACGGCACCUGAAGUGUGACACGGCUGUGCCGAUGCCCUGGAGGAGUGUGAACGCUGUGUGACGUCCUCGCAAGUCGCUCUCCUUGGCUGCACAACAGGAAACACUUGUGGCCUCCCUCCUUCCUGCGCUCAGAAAGAGGGCGUGUGAAGAGGGUGUGUGCCUGGAUAGGCUUGCCAGGACUGCCAGGCAGAAGUCGUCUGUCAAAUCCCAGAGAUUGCUUUUCACUGCAUUAACCAGAGAAGGGAGAGAGGAGAGAGACGUGAAAGCCGGACAGACAAUGUCCCUUCUCUUUAUGGACUCCAAUGAUGGGACGAGGGGGCGACGGUGAUGACACUCAUCCACUCUGCAAUCAGAGGCAGGAGCGAUGGAUGCGUCACAGUAUUUGAUUAGCUAGAGUUGGCCUCUCAGCCUGAAGCACUGCUUACAGACCAAGAUGUUUGUUUUCAGCGAAAAGAGGUCAAUAGCUAGGAAGAUGUGAGGUAGCUAACAAGCAGGUUGACACGACAGUCUGAAGAUGGUACACUUACUGUAAUGAAUUGGAUGACAUCACCAGGAGUUGACGGACAGGGCUCAGUCUUAUGAGAUCGAGAAAUCAAAUGUCUUGUUCUCAGAUGGAUAGAGCUGUCUCUCACCUCACGGCGUUUUGUCACAAUUUUUCCAACCUUGUAUCCAUCCAGGCAUCGCUGCGCUGAAAGACAACCCUGAGAUUGAUGUCUGAGGUGAGGCACAUCAGCCCAGUCACAAGUCCUUCACAACCUUUUUUUUCUUAAAAUAAAACAAAUCUGUCUUUAAGCAUGUUGGAAAAGGACCCGUAAGUAAGUAAGCAUUUCACUGUUCGUCUACACCUGCUGUUUACCAAGCAGGUGACAAAGGACACUUCCUCAAUGGAGCGUAAAUACUGUAGCAGCCAUGCCAAGACAGUGAGAGCUAAAACAUCCUGAAACUCAGAGCCUGGUUCAGCUCACAUGGCAACAACACGUCAAACCUUAUAAAGUGUUAACAGAGAAGCCAAUGUACAGACCCAGGAGAAUCAUCCCUCUGCUCUUACUGUGUGUGCGUGCUUGCAUUUGUGUGUGCAAUUGUCUGUGUGUGUGUGAGUGUGUGUGUGUGUGUGUGUACGUGAUCUCUCAUACUCUCCCCCAGCCUCCAGCCUCUUUUUCUGGCUCUAAUAUAGCACCCUCUUCAGCUCAGAGCGGAGCUCCUCAUAUUUACGUGUGGGAUGAGAGUGGCAGGGGCUUCUCUAUUAGCCCUCAGGAUGAGCCAGUGCUAGCUAGCUCCCAGCUCCCAGCUCCCAGCUCCGAUCACAAGCAGCCAGGGUAUGAAAGAGAAAUCCCUUCAUCACCAAAGUCGUAAUGAAUUUGUAACGACCCCCAUUUAUUACAUUUAUUUUGCUGAAUUUCGAUGUUCAAACUUUAAGCAAACAGACAACAAGUGGGCCAAUGUUGUAGCUUAU
ensembl:lncRNA